CUUGGCAUGCUGUGGUCCAUGGGGUCGCAGAGUCAGAUGCAACUGAGCGACUGAACUGAAAGAAUGUUUCUCCUAGUCACCAGAAGCAGUCAUCACCAUGAAGGACUUUAGGACUUCUCUGGAUAUAAGGAGAUACAAGAACUGGGCUCAUAAAAUCGACUGUGAAAUUAUUUAACCAUCUGAAGACUUGUUCUGCCAGUUUUUCCCAGAGCACAGAGUGCCUCUUUUCUGCCCUCCAACCUGAAUUCCUUUCAGGGAUUGUUGAAAGUCAGCAUGAUUUAAUCCUUGUAGAGGUAGAUGGCAAGUGCCAAUUUGUAGUUGACAGCAUUGUGGGAGGUUGGCAUGAGACUACUAGAAAAAAGCCAGAAAUCCUACAACAGGGGUUACUUAUCUAAACUAGUGUAUGUCUAUGGGAUGGAAUACCUUGCAGCCUUUUGACAGUGAUUAUAGAAGAAUAUUUAAUUUCACAAAAAGUCAUCAAUUUCUGAUUGUGUACAUUUCUGUACAAUGGUUGUGCUUUAAAACAUUCCUUUAUAGAAGAAAGUGGGCGGGGUGGGGGGGUUGCAGGGAAAGUUUCUUUAAAAAUGUAGAGUAUGAGACUAUUCAUGCAUAAAGGAAAUUAAAUCUAUACUUGCAUAGGAAUAUGACCAGAAUAAUACAUUACUUAUCAUCCAAAAUAGUUCCAUUAUAAGUUAUUGUAUCUCCUACAUGUUGUUCUUAUGGGUUUUCAGAAUUUUCUAUAGGUGAAACAUUGUGUAAAGAAUGAAGGGUGUAGACAAAGAUGACUUCAAGUUUUGAGCCAGAGUGACUAACAGAGUGAAGUGAAAAUCAGUUGUGUCCAACUCUUUGCAACCCCAUGGACUGUAGCCCUAUGGACUGUAGUCUGCCAGGCUCCUCUGUCUAUGGAAUUCUCUGGGCAAGGAUACUCGAGCGGGUAGCCAUUCCCAUCUCCAGAGGAUCUUCCCAACCCAGGGAUCGAACCCAGGUCUCCACAUUGCAGGCAGAUUCCUUACCAGCUGAGCCACCAGGGAAGCCCAAGAAUACUGGGCUAACAGAGGGGUUGGUGCCUUUUGCACAGCUAGAGAAGUCAAGGAGAGAAAAAAGUUUGGUAGAAAGAUGAUUAAUUCCACUUUGGACAUGCUGAAUUUGUGACUCCCACAGGACAAAAAGAUGGAAAUGUUCAAGAGGUGUCCGCAGCCAUCAGCCUCUUUUCUGCUUAAGUGAAGUUCUCUCCCAUAAAUCAUAUCAGCUCCCAUAGUGUCACUUCCCUCCAUCAGCAAUGAAUGCUCCCACAUUUCUUGAAAUCCAGCUUUUGGUUUCAGCUUAAGUGAAGUUCUCUCCCAUAAAUCAUAUCAGCUCCCAUAGUGUCACUUCCCUCCAUCAGCAAUGAAUGCUCCCACAUUUCUUGAAAUCCAGCUUUUGGUUUCAGAUUUAUGCUAGAUAAUUUCCACUUAUUUUCACAACCAGCACCUCCAGGUUAAGAUGUCAAAACAAAUCUUAGUUUCUUCCAUAAUCCCUAUCAUACGUGUCCUUCCCCCACUGUUCCCAGUUUGGGAAAUGUCACCAGCAUCAUGCAGUUACCCAGGUAAAUUAGCCAUUAGCCCCUUUUUUCCCCCCUUAAUACUUCUUCAUCUAAAUAAAUGCCAAGCUUCAAGGAUUCUA